GGGCCAGACGCAGCCGAGUAUCUUGAGGAGAAGGACUUUAAAGCGUUCAGGGAUUUUAGCUGCCGCUGUGGAGUUCCGCCGCUGUUCUUCCGCUGGAGGGCGCAGUAGUUCCUUAAGAGGGAAUGGUGCGGCGAAUAGCUGUGAGUUCAAAGUCCUGACUACAGAGUUUUGCUCUUGUUGCCCAGGCUGGAGUGCAAUGGCGCGAUCUCGGCUCACCGCAACCUCUGCUUCCCAGGUUCAAGCGAUUCUCCUGCCUCAGCCUCCUGAGUAGCUGGGAUUACAGGCAUGUGCCACCAAGCCCAGACAGAAUCUUGCCCUAUCACCCAGGCUGUAGUGCCGUGGUAUAAUCUUGGCUCGCCGCAACCUCCGCCUCCUGGGUUCAAGCCAUUCUCCUGCUUCAGCCUCCUGAGUAGCUGUGACUACAGGCGUGCACCACCACACCUGGCUAAUUUUUGUAUUUUUAGUAGAGACGGGGUUUCACCAUAUUGGCCAGGCUGGUCUUGAACUCCUGACCUCAAGUGAUUCACCCGCCUGGGCCUUCCAAAGUGCUGGGAUUACAGGCAUGAGCCACUGUGCCCGACCAUAACUCUAACAUUUUAUCAUCAAGAAAUGCUUGCUAUAUGUAUACAUACAUUAGAUUCACAGCCUGCAUAAGAGUUUGUGUGAUUUCUUACUUAGUAAAUACUGAGUGGUAAGGACAAUUCCAAAUUCAUCCCAUGAAAGUUAAUAGGGAAUUCCUAGCAGGUCAUAGGUCAGAUAGAAAAUCUGUCCUUCAUGAAACGCUGAGGACGUGCAAUUCCAAUUAAACCCACUCAAUCUGGAGAAAGAAAUCAAAGGGAGGGGGUGGGCCUGGAAAGAGUACAUCUUAUCUUCAGGUACUGUUUGUUUGAUUUUUUUUAAUACUUGGGGUUUGUUUCUGGGAAGAAUUCUUGACCUGGCAAAAAUUCAUAGUAAUUACUCAGGGGAAAGGAAAAAGAAGAAACAAACAAACAAAAAAUACAUUAAUGUGGUUGGAAAAAAAAUCUAAGAACAUGGUGUUGGUGGGAGAGAAGACUAAAUGUUUGUGGAAGACCCACCCAAGUGCUUUUGAUGUUUGACCAGUUAUUAUCUUAUUGUUCUUCCUGCUAUAGAUACAGCUGCAAUUUAUGUAACAGGAUGUUUAAAAAGAUUAAAGAGAAUCUGUAGUAGGGUUCUGAGAUGAUAAGAGUCCCUAGAAUAUGCAUUUAUGGACGUUUAGAAUAUAAGUUCCUGUACAUUCUUAGAAUAAACCAUCUAUUUGUUUCCUUUUUUAAAAAAGAAACAAACAAAAUUUGUAUUUCAGUAUGGCUGCUUCCUUCCAGCAAGUGAUAUGGAAUAACAGGCAAAGACAGCAAACCAAUAACAGAGCAAAGACAAGUUGGUGCUGGUUCAAACUGUGGCCCAUGCCGGUUCUUAAUUAGCUUUGAGCUUUGAGUCUAAAAUGUUUUAACUCUACAUUAUACACGUGUUUGGAAUUUAUUUGGAUUCAACCUGUUCAUCAGAAAAUGGGUUAUUCUAUGAUACAAGCAGGAUCAUUGUGUGAAAUUUAUGACUGCAAUCACCCAACGUGAAGAUGAAAGUUUAAACAUUUUUUUGCUAGAGGAGUUUUCAAAAAAAAAAAAAAAAAGUGUUCUAUAGAUGUCCCAAACAUACAGAGUGACUUACUGGCGUUUAAGUCUUUCUGCCAUGUGGAGUGCUAUCUUAAGUGAUAAAUUGGCACUGGGCACUUGAUAAAAGGUCAUUGGGCAUAUUCUCCAAGUUUCUGGUGUUAGUCAUGAAUUAAUUGCUUGUUAACUUUAAUUCUCCUAGCAACCUAGGCUAAUACCUACUGCACACUUGCUCUCUCUCUCUCACUGUAUUUCUGUGCAUGUGUAUGUGCAUAAUUUUUUUCUGAACUUGUUUCUGUUUGAUAAUAACUUACAGACAUGAUGCCCCUUUCCAUUAAGCACUUCAGUGGAUAUUUUCUUUUCUUUGUUUUUUUUUUUUUUUUUGAGACAGAGUUUUGCUCUGUCACCCAGGCUGGAGUGCAGUGGCGUGAUCUCAACUCACUGCAACCUCUGCCUCCUGGAUUCCAGCUAUUCUCCUGCCUCAGCCUCCAGGUAGCUGGGACUACAUGCAUAUGCCACCAUGCCCAGCUAAUUUUGUAUUUUUAGUAGAGACAGGGUUUCACCAUGUUGGCCAGGCUGGUCUCAAACUCCUGACCUCGUGAUCUGCCCGCCUCGGCCUCCCAAAGUGCUGGGAUUACAGGAGUGAGCCACCACGCCCCGCCAGUGUAUAUUUUCUAAAAACAAGGAUAUUCUCUUUCAUAACCACAAUUAUAAAAAUUAAGAAAUCAAUAUUGAUUCAAUAAUAUUUUCUAACCUACAGACCUCAUUUGAAUUUGCUCAAAUGUUCCAAUAAUGUCCAUUAUGGUAAAAUAAAUUCUAUAUCAUACAUUG
rnacentral:lncRNA from 1 species